rnacentral:tRNA from 1 species
AGUUAAAAAGCUUCAUAAAAGCAUAUAUUUUGAAAGUAUAAGAGAAAGGUUAAAUUCCUUUAUUAACUU